AAAAUAAAUUUUUUUGUAAUCUUUUAUUAUUGGUUAAUUUACCUUUUGCAUCAUGAUACCAGGAUUUUUAUAAAUGAAAUUUUUACACCGAAACCUUUGGAUCUAUAAUGUGAUUAAAAAAGUGUUUAAUUCAUAUGCGGGUCGCAUUUUUAAAUCAUUUUAUUGUUGUGAUAAAUUAAUCGUCUUAGGUUAUAUCUGUUUAGUGACUAUUAAUUUAAAAUUAGCAUUAUGGCGAAAAGGUCAGAAUGCUGUCUAUAUAAUAAAUUGUUUUUUAGUGGUAGGGUUAAAAUUACCUUUAGUUUAAAAUCUUGUUAUAAGUUUGAUAAAUAGAAAUAGUUUUAUUAGAUUGAUUAGUCAUUUUUAAUUAAUAUUUUGUUUAAAAUAAUCUGAUAAUAAGUAAUAUUAUUAUAAUCUUUAAUUCUCAUUUCGAGUCCGUCUGUUUAUUAAAAACAUUUCCACUGUUUAAAUAGUUUGUGGUAGUACCUGCCCAGUGUAUUAAUAAAUGGCCGCAGUAUUUUGACUGUGCGAAGGUAGCAUAAUUAAUUGCCUUUUAAUUGGAGGCUAGUUUGAAUGGUUUAACGAGACUUUGAUUUUAUAUGGGUUAUAUUUUUUGAAAUUAAUUUAGUGGGCACAGAAUCCACUUAUUAUAACAAGACGGAAAGACCCCAGGAUCUUUCAUUUUUGCUUGGGGUAAGUUAAAUUAUUUUAUUUUAAUUAAGAUCCUAUUGGUUUAAUGGUUAAAGUUACCCUGGGGAUAACAGUGUAAUAAUUUAUUAGAGAUCCUAUCGAAUAAAUUGUUUGCCACCUCGAUGUUGACUUAGGUUUAAUUUUUGGCGCAGUAGUUUAAAAUUUUUGGUCUGUUCGACCUUUGAGACCUCCAUGAGUUGAGUUAAGACCGGCGUGAGCCAGGUCGGUUCUUAUCUAUUGGUGGAACCUGUUAGUACGAAAGGACCACAGGUAAUUUUUGU
rnacentral:rRNA from 1 species